UGAGUGAAGAAGGCCCUCGGGUUGUAAAGCUCUUUUGUCCGGAAAGAAAAGCUUCGGGUUAAUACCCCGGGGUUCUGACGGUACCGGAAGAAUAAGCACCGGCUAACUUCGUGCCAGCAGCCGCGGUAAUACGAGGGGUGCAAGCGUUACUCGGAAUUACUGGGCGUAAAGCGUGCGUAGGUGGUUCGUUAAGUCUGAUGUGAAAGCCCUGGGCUCAACCUGGGAAUUGCAUUGGAUACUGGCGGGCUAGAGUGCGGUAGAGGAUAGUGGAAUUCCUGGUGUAGCAGUGAAAUGCGUAGAGAUCAGGAGGAACAUCCGUGGCGAAGGCGACUGUCUGGACCAGCACUGACACUGAGGCACGAAAGCGUGGGGAGCAAACAGGAUUAGAUACCCUGGUAGUCCACGCCCUAAACGA
rnacentral:rRNA from 1 species